GACGUAGGGCGCGAGCGUUGUCCGGAUUUAUUGGGCGUAAAGAGCUCGUAGGCGGCUUGUCGCGUCGAAUGUGAAAACCCACAGCUCAACUGUGGCUUGCAUUCGAUACGGGCAGGCUAGAGUUCGGUAGGGGAGACUGGAAUUCCUGGUGUAGCGGUGAAAUGCGCAGAUAUCAGGAGGAACACCGGUGGCGAAGGCGGGUCUCUGGGCCGAUACUGACG
rnacentral:rRNA from 1 species